ensembl:lncRNA
GUUAAAAGCAGAUUGUCCAUUUAAACCGUACCCUUAAACAGUCCUUAAGAAACCUAGUUUGUUGAAGUCCCAAGGUUAAAUUGUCCACCGGUGUAUAAUCAGUAUUAUCAUUAACUAAAACUAAAGCCAUAUAAAUGUUAACUAAAACUAAAGCCAUUUUAAUUACUUUAAAUAGACAUGAAAUAAAAUAUAAACUGAAGCUUAAAUAAAACUUAAACAUAUUUUAUUUCAGAUAUUUGCCAAAGCAACAUUUUUUUCUACAGUUUUAGUUGAAUACUUUGAUUACUAAAACUUAAUAAAAGCUAUAUAGACAUAUUUAAAAAAUAAAAAUCAACAACUAUUAAAACCUGAUAAAAAUCACAAAAACAACAAAAUUAACAGAAAUAUAAAUAUAAAAUCUCAUCUGUUUCACAGCAGUUUAUUAUUGUUUAUUCAGAGAAACCUGCCUUGUCACCAUUCGUGUCAGUCAGUUUGUCUCUUCCUGCCUAAGCGGGGGGUUCUUGUCCACACAAGCAGACAGUAUGUAUGCAGUAACCAUGUUGUCUCUCAUCUGCAGGCAUAGUCCUCAGAGUGCAGCAGAGCGUGGAGGAGCCACAGGAUCCCUGCAGCCGAGAGCUGCCCAUGUCCAGUGAUAAAGUGGAGGUGGUGGAGGAGUGGAUGCUUCCUGCUAGACCGAAGGAGACGGAUCAGCAGCAGUUAAGCAUCUCAUUGCUGGACUGUAGCGAGACCGAGAAUGAGGCGUUCAUGAGUAAGAAGCCAAGAUUAACAGAAUCAAAUGGACACAAUGCUGAGAUCACAACACACUCGUAUCACAAACACAAACAAGACCAGAUGUAUUACCUGGGUGCCUCGAAAGAAGGAAAUGUGGCCCAAUUCAUCAACGCCAGUUAGAGCAGGAACUGAACUGACCUAGAACUACUCGUAUGCAGUAGGAUGUGAGCAUGAUCAUGUGACAUUUUGAGGCAUUCAUUCUGUAGUGUUUCGUGAUGACAGCGGUUUGUAUUUCUGUCAAAUGUUUUUAUGCAGCAGCUCUGAGGCAUAACAAUAAAAAUCAGUCAAAUAAAGCUGCA